UCGCAGGCUUCCGAUACGCGACUGCGCGGUGAAUUUAUUCGAUAUCCCCCUUUUCGCAUAACUGGGUUAGUCUCUCUCGAUGCACUAGUUUAACUAAUUUAAGGAUGCCACGAGAUGCCUCGUGCACGACGACUAAUGUCAACCGUCGUCACUCAACGCGAACGAGCGGCCGGGUGCGGGCGGAUGGACGGAUGGAUAGAUGGAUGGACGAACGGGCGGACAUACGUCGACGUAAUAUCGACGUGCGCGCUGUUGCUCACUUCCGAGGGAUGCGACGGUGCAGCGGUGAUGCACGAGAUGCGAUUAUUAACUCGCGAAGAAUUCUACGGGCGCUCAUUCUCAGGGGAGCCGCGGAAGCAUUCGGCUUCCUCGAGAUUUUUCACGCGCCGGCGUACCAAAGCGCCUCUUUAGACUUUCAGAUUUCAAAGAACAAUCAUACAAUCUCUCGCAAUAACGCAAAUAGAGAAAUAACGUGCGAAACGUAAUCUACAUCCACCGCUUCUCACUUUACAAUCAAUUUCAACGAUUGAAUUAUUGUCAGGCUAUUAUGCGCCUGUGUCGAGAAGGGAGAGAGAAAGAGAGAGAGAGAGACUUGUCUACAUGCUACUAAUGACAACGACUUAUAAAUAGAAUGUGAAAUGCAUCCCACGCGAGUGCUUACGUCACGAAACGUCGCCUGUCCGUUCAAGGACUAAAGACCGAUCGUGUCGAGUGUGGAUUGCAGAUAUUAUUUAAUUAGACUUUCCACCUUAACUGGGAAAAAAAAGAACGAAACGUCGAUGUGUAUCGUCAUUGUCUCAUGGCUUUUUUUUCCAAAUUACAGAUUGCCUGCAUAUUUUGAGGCGUGAAACAAUCCAGCGAUCGUACGCUUGGUACCAACGGACGCUGAGAUUUGCGCAAUGUGAAAUUGUACAUGACAAACGUUCGCCACCCCCUCGGCCAGACGGAGAACCACUGUACCACCACGGUUAGACUACACACUACGUAACGGUUGGAUAGUAAGUGUGUUGGUCUCGACGGCGUGGGUGGUACGUAGAGCAACGGCAAUGUGCCAACCGUGAGAGAGGCAGCCAUGAAUGAAAGUGCCGCGUAUCGAUUUAUCUGCGCCGCCCUACAUACGAAAUAUGAUAAAUAGAGAGUGCCUCUCUACCGAUUUGUAUACUGACACUUGGAAUCACCACGUCAUCCAGGCGUAUUCAUCUCUCUCAUUCUCGUCUCGGUUCCCAGUUACGUGUUAAUUGAGGUGCAGCAAUCAUUAUCUCGCGUAUCUAAUACGGGUGUAAUGAGAUUAGAUCAGAGUUAUUUCAAUGAGAGCACAAUGGCGAGGGAGAGUGGAGAAGACAUUAUGUUUCGCAAUGUCAGAUAGACGAGCGAUAGAAUUAAUUGUGAGAAAAUUCGGGAGCGAAAUGCGCAAAAAAUGGGAAAAAUUCAACAAUCAGAUGUGGAAUUUCGCGAUCGUGUGUAAUCGACGCGAACAAGCGCGGACUAUCGACUUCGUCUGUAACAGCACUAAACGCGUCACCGUUCAAAACGAUUCGAUGUGGCGCCAUUAUUCAUUCAUGCGAGCUGCCUCUACGUCAAUGACUGAGAACCAUUUCGAGCUACCGUGCCGAUUUAAUGAUCAUUAAUAUGCAAAUUUAGCGGUUUUGAGGAUCUUGGAUCUUGGAAGGAAUCCAAAAAUUGGAAAAUUUUGAACAGCAACGAGUUAGAAGCCGUCGUGAUCGAAGCAACUACAGCGUCAACGUCAAGCGCAAGUUAUCGACCACUUUAUACUCGAUGCUGAUAAGACCGUAUCAAUCUUAUCGCGCAAAACGAUACCGCGUACCACUGUAUCCCUGAAUAUGUAAAAUCAAUUUCUUCGCGAGAGAGACUACCUACGCGAAUUCGUUCGGGCCGGCGACGGCCGCCAUCGCGCUGAUCGGACCGCGAGACCGUCACCUCGCGUGAGAGACCGACGGCGAGGACAUGGACGGACGCUCUACGCGCAUCUAGAUGUCAAAGACGAUUUUUCUUUCAAGACUUACCUGGGUCAUGAGAGAGGCGGAAUCUUCAUGCUCGCGGUGAGAUACGCUGCUGUGGCGGUAAGAGGGUGCAGCAGCGCGGUGGCAGCGACAACGGCGGCGGCGAGGUCGGCAGCGGGUCGGGGUCGGCGGUGGCGGCAGCGGCAGCGGUGGCAGCGUCGGCUGGUACUGGUGCUGGUUCUGGUGCUGCUCGCGCGAAAUCGGCGUCGCGCGGAUGUUCGCGUCUCAUCGCGCCGCCGAACGGAUUCCUCUCACAUCGCCCCGCGUCGUUGAUCCUCGCCUUUACUCCCUUUUCCACUCUUUCCUCUUCUUCCCUUUUUGUUUGCUCACACGAUUUUCACACACGGAGUACUCGCGCGACGGAAGGGUGUGUUACGCGCACGAUGGACGCGCGUUUCGCGAAGAAUCGAGCCGACCGACCGACCCUCCGACAAUGGCUGCGGUUCCGCUAGGGGUUGAAGGGAGCACGCGCGAGCGAGGCAACGCGACGCGACGCGACGCGGGCGUCGCUGUGACGCAUUACCAGCGUAAGAGGGAGGAAAGGGCGGAGGAGAGAGUGGGUGUAAUGAGAUACGUUUCUCCUGCCAGCUGCGGGUGGAUGGGCGAGCGUAGGUAGAUGCGCGAGAAAUGUGUGGCUCGCGGUAUCUAUAGAGAACUUAUAAUAGAGAACGUCUCCGUGGAGAACGUCUCUGCGAUUGCACAUUUGUAGUAUCCUUGUACGUCCUCGUGACGCGUCACAGACGUCAAAGGGAGUUGCGAGCAAUGAGUAUAUAAAGAGAUACAUGCGGCGCUCGCACGUGCGGUGACAGUCUCGUACGUUAGAUCUGAUUGCCUCUUGUAAAAAAACUGAAACUUUUCUUUUUAAACACGAAAUUGAUCACGGUUUUAAUUUACGAUUGUUUAAAAAGAGAUUUUUAUGAAUCUAGUUUUAGAGACCGCUUCAGCAACUCUGAUUAACUUAAAGAAAUUAGUCGACUAAACUUACUAACAGUUAACUAUAAAACUGAAAACUGACCGUAUUAUUUCAUUCACCUUAUACAUUUUCUGCAAAUAAUAAUUUAUUUAAGUAAAAUAUAAUAUUUAAUUAAUAAUUUUUUUUAAUUAAAAUAAUUAAAAAAUUAAUUUAGGGAUGAUCAGUUUGCAGUUUUGCAGUUGACAAUUUAUAAAUUUUUUCAGUCUAUUGUAAAGUUAAUCAGUCUAUUGGAGUCAAGAAGACCGGCCCUUAAUUCGAUAGAAGGUAUUACCGUGGGAUCAAAAAGUAGCAAACUAUACAUACGAAUAAUCCACAGUGGAUUACUUAAAGUCAAAGGAUAGCUUUGUACAAUGGCCUGAUCGUCCUGAGAUCGACGGACAUGAGCAACGGUGCCGCUAAUAUAGCCCAGAUUGCCAUUUGUGUUUUACUUUGGUCGUAACUUAAACCGAAGUUGCCGAUGAUCAACAUGUCUGGAUCAUUCCAGCGCCCAGGACCGGCCCAGGGCAUGAGCGUGUCCUGAUUAUCACCGUAGUAAUCGAUGAUACUCUCUACGCUGGCCCAGGAAUCCUGGAUGUCGUGGUAGUUACGCCAGAGAUUGCAGGUUUGCGCAAUUGCGGCAUAGUUCGGCUGAAAAUUCGAUGAACUUCAUUGAUUGGAAGAAAUAGAUCAGGAAGAAAUAAAUGAGACCAAAAUGCAUCGACACUCACUUCUAUACGAGCAUAAAUUUGGUAGACAGGCCAACUGCAAGAAUAUACCAUAGGCCUUCCAGUUUGAUUGAGGAAGCAAACGUGACAGCAUCUCCAGUCAAGUGGCCCAAUAUACCUGGAAAUCCAGCGCAGAUUGUUGAAGCUCACCUUAUACAAUUAUCUGGAUCGUUCUUGCAAUCGACGUUGCACCUGAAUCUUUCCCACGCCAACCAUCCCAUUGGAGGUGUUCUGGCUAAGCCAUUCUCCAGCGCUGGAACUACAGUGACCAGCGAUAGGAGAAGGACUACGGUUUGCGCGGCAUCCUGUAGAAAGUAAAUAGGAUAACGAGUGUACCGGCAUAAUCCAAGGGUGCGGAGCGGAGCAGGAUUCCCGUGAGAAAACAGUCGACGGUGAAGUCAGAGUCUGUUAACCAGCAGGAACGACGCAAGGUAUACACGUGUUAUGACGAGACGUGUCUUCCGUACUGAUCUGGGGAUCGAUCGAAUAUUUUAAAACCUAGAGAAAAUUAUAAAAGUGAAUUGUCACUUGAUUGGAUAACUUUCAUCUCGUAAUGUCUCGCAGAAUUGUUGACCGGUAUCAUCAUAGGCUCGCGCGUUUACAAUUUGCAUCUCCUUUCCCCUCCGCGCCAUUUUUCAAUAUGAUACGUUUUCGAAGGACGAAUCAAAACGAUAAAAUUUAAAUGAAUUUAUAAUCAAUUCAAGAGGCCCGUUUUAGUCUCUUGAAGAAAUUUUUUUUAACGCAAAGAGAAGGACAGCCAAUUUACGAACAAAUUAAAAGAUCUUAUGCAAAAUUUGCACAUAACUAUCCCUACUUAAAACUGAUUUGAAAAAUUUAAACCGCAUGAUUUAAUAACAAAUUUUUUUAUAUCCUUCGCAAAAGGAUAUUUGACGAAUCUCUUAUUAGGUGCCACCUAGAAAUUCGGUACGUCUUGUAAAUAGAAAUCUGCAGUGAAUUAAAUGGCACACGCGAAUGUGCGAAUAACGCAAGCUUCUCGCAACUCAGUACCGAGCGAUUGGCUUUAUAUGCAAUAAAUGCUCUCGUAUAACGUAAGGAGGGAAUAUAAUAAAAAAAAAAAAGUGAAAAUAACAUAUCUUUUGUCUGCCACGUGUCGCGCGAGUGUUAUUUUAUUGCAGCGCGCUCGUAUAUACGUGUCCUAUAUAUAUGAAACGACUUAUGGAUGUGUCCAUUCUAUAAAUAUAUGCGAACAUUUCUGCUA